UGAGGAAUAUUGGACAAUGGGUGAGAGCCUGAUCCAGCCAUCCCGCGUGAAGGACGACUGCCCUAUGGGUUGUAAACUUCUUUUAUACUGGGAUAAACCUACCCUCGUGAGGGUAGCUGAAGGUACAGUAUGAAUAAGCACCGGCUAACUCCGUGCCAGCAGCCGCGGUAAUACGGAGGGUGCAAGUGUUAUCCGGAUUUAUUGGGUUUAAAGGGUCCGUAGGCGGGCUCGUAAGUCAGUGGUGAAAUCUCAUAGCUUAACUAUGAAACUGCCAUUGAUACUGCGGGUCUUGAGUAAAGUAGAAGUGGCUGGAAUAAGUAGUGUAGCGGUGAAAUGCAUAGAUAUUACUUAGAACACCAAUUGCGAAGGCAGGUCACUAUGUUUUAACUGACGCUGAUGGACGAAAGCGUGGGGAGCGAACAGGAUUAGAUACCCUGGUAGUCCACGCCGUAAACGAUGCUAACUCGUUUUUGGGUUUUUCGGAUUCAGAGACUAAGCGAAAGUGAUAAGUUAGCCACCUGGGGAGUACGUUCGCAAGAAUGAAACUUAAAGGAAUUGACGGGGGUCAUAGCUGUUUUUCCU
rnacentral:rRNA from 1 species